ensembl:lncRNA
GGGAUAAGUUGCUUGUCUUUUAUAAGUUUUUGGGGAUAAGUUGCUUGUCUUUUAUAAGUUGUUGGGGAUAAGUUGCUUGUCUUUUAUAAGUUGUUGGGGAUAAGUUGCUUGUCUUUUAUAAGUUGUUGGGGAUAAGUUGCUUGUCUUUUAUAAGUUGUUGGGGAUAAGUCGUUUGCAUUUUAUAAGUUCUCAGGAUAAGUCGUUUGCCUUUUAUAAGUUUCUCGGAUAAGUCGUUUGCCUUUUAUAAGUUGUUGGGGAUAAGUUGCUUGUCUUUUAUAAGUUGUUGGGGAUAAGUUGCUUGUCUUUUAUAAGUUGUUGGGGAUAAGUUGCUUGUCUUUUAUAAGUUGUUGGGGAUAAGUCUUUGCCUUUUAUAAGUUGUUGGGGAUAAGUCGCUUGUCUUUUAUAAGUUGUUGGGGAUAAGUCUUUUGCAUUUUAUAAGUUUCUCGGGAUAAGUUGCUUGUCUUUUAUAAGUUGUUGGGGAUAAGUUGUUUGCCUUUUAUAGGUUUUUGGGGAUAAGUCUUUUGCCUUUUAUAAGUUUUGGGGCGAUAAGUUGCUUGUCUUUUAUAAGUUGUUGGGGAUAAGU